rnacentral:lncRNA from 1 species
CCACCGCCCUCGCUGGCCCAGGAACCCCCGCAGAGGCUAACGCGCACAUGGCGCGGUGGAGCUCGUACCCGAGGCCAAGCGUGGCCGGAGGCGGAUCGGGCGGAGCGCGAGGAUGAAGUGCACGCGCCUGGACCACUGUUGGGAAAAGUGGCCUCUCCUCGCUCCACGCUUUGCUGCCGACUCCCCCGGAGCCCUCCCACUGCGCUCCCGUUGUCUGGCCGAGGGCCCAUGUCGCACAGAGGUGGACACCUGCCCUCGUAAACAUUAUGUGGGAGAUUUGAGGCUCAGGAGGAUAGGAAAAUCCAGAGCAGAGCCUGGGGGCCAAGAGCCUGAGGGACAGUGACUGUCGUAGCUGGGAAACUGCAAAGCGCUGAGGCCAAAGGGAGGACCCAGCCCUAGAGGACUGUGGCCCUCGGUGGGGAAGAGGGACCUCACAAGGAAAAGAAGAGUGAGGAGAGAGAAAUCUCGAAGCAGACGUGGAUGUGUGCUCUGACCAGAGCUCAGAGCACCAAGAGAAGCAUCCACCUGGGGUGCAGGAGGAGACCCCUUUCCCUCACCGCAGAGACAGUCCCUGUGCAAGCCGGGCGACACCAUGGGGCUGGUGGCUCAGCUCUCAGCAGAGCCACUCCAUGUCCAGCGUGAGGUCCACAGAGUCAGGAUGGUGGACGCAGACAGUGUCAACCCCAGUGGCUGCUCCACCCUUUCGGGCCUGGGGAGAGAAGGACAUGUGUAUGGGGACAAAACAGAGGGACAUCUCUGGUUGGACAUCCGUUCAUCAGCCCACUUGUAUGUGGAUGCCUGCUCAUCUGCUCUCCUGGUCCACGCAUGAGCUGCUCACAAGGGAAGGGACAUCUUCAAGCCACAAAGGACCAGAGUGAAUGUUUAGAGUCAGGCGACCAUCGGUUCAAGUGACAAACCUUAGUUCUGUCACUUGUUGAAUAAUCAAUAUAAACACCUGUGACUCAGUUCUGCCAUCUUUGCAGUGUGAGUAAUGCUGUAACCACCUAUUAGAAUGUGAUGGGAUUCAGAAAUGAUUGAUACAAAAUACUCAG